UACGAAGGGUGCGAGCGUUAUUCGGAAUCACUGGGCGUAAAGGGUGUGUAGACGGUAUAUUAAGUUCGUCGUUAAAGGCUCCGGCCUAACCGGAGUAUUGCGAUGAAAACUGGUAAGCUAGAGGGUGAGAGAGAGAAGUGGAAUUCCCGGUGUAGUGGUGAAAUGCGUAGAGAUGCGGAGGAACACCGAUGGCGAAGGCAGCCCCCUGGGCCAACACUGACGCUCAGGCACGAAAGCGUGGGGAGCAAACAGG
rnacentral:rRNA from 1 species